CGAGGACGAACGCUGGCGGCGUGCCUAACACAUGCAAGUCGAGCGGAGUUGACAAGAGGAAGUUUCGGAUGGAAUUUGUUAAUUAGCGGCGGACGGGUGAGUAACGCGUGAGCGACCAACCUUGCACAGGGGGAUAACGGACCGAAAGGUUCACUAAUACCGCAUGAGACCACGGUGUUGCAUGACACAGGGGUCAAAGGAGCAAUCCGGUGCAAGACGGGCUCGCGUCCGAUUAGGUAGUUGGAGGGUAACGGCCCACCAAGCCUAUGAUCGGUAGCCGACCUGAGAGGGUGAUCGGCCACAUUGGAACUGAGAUACGGUCCAAACUCCUACGGGAGGCAGCAGUGGGGAAUAUUGGGCAAAAUGGGGGAAACCCUGACCCAGCAACGCCGCGUGAAGGAAGAAGGUUUUCGGAUUGUAAACUUCUGUCCUUGGUGAAGAGAAGAAGACGGUAGCCAAGGAGGAAGCCCCGGCUAACUACGUGCCAGCAGCCGC
rnacentral:rRNA from 1 species